UCACAUUGCCUUCCCUCAGAAACUCUAUUUCGUUUUCACACCUAUCUAUCAGGGCUAUUGAUAGUAUAAAUACCCUCUAAGACUCAUUGUAAUUGAAGACUUAUGACAUUGACAAUACAAACCACUUUGUUCAGCUGUGUGCUAACAAAUUCAGAGAGAGAUCUCUACCCCUUUGCUCUUGUGUUUUCCUUCGCGGAGAUUACAGAAGCGGUCACGUCAUCGGCACCCAAUCCGUGCUCCUGAUCCUCGAGUUCAGGUUGCGUAGGUUGGUUCUUUGAGAGUGUGGUUGGGUGAAUCCUUGGUUCAGGCUGCCGUAUAGAGACGGUGGUUGGCUCCUUGUGCGUGUCGUCAGGUUGCACUAGUUAUCCUCGCUGCUUGCAGCAAGUUAUCGGCUGAUCUUCAGCUAGUUAUCCUACGACGUGAAGAUCGGGACAACGACCUCAUCAUCUGGUAUCAGAGCUCAAGUUUCCACGGAAGGAUUUUUACCCUUAGCUACAUAUAUAUAUCUUGUUCGUCCUAUCCACCAAAAAGCCAUAAAAAAUUGCAUUAGCCCUUUGUUUCAAUCUGUUUUCCUUGUGAGUUUGGUUAAGUUUCAGUCCAUUAGAGUUUUGUUUAGUUGUUGAUCAUCAUAUUCUUUGUGUGUCCUUUGUGCCUCUUUAUAUCUACAAAUCCCUAAAGAAAAUCUGAAACCGGUAUCAUCCUUCGCGUAAACUUGGAGCCUAUCAAGUUAGAACGCUGACGGUUGUGUCUUGUUUCAAAAAAAAAGUGUGUGCAAGUGUUAUAUCUGCUCUUGUUCUUAGUUAUAAAAAAACUAUCAAAAAAAGGAAAAUGAAAAAAAGGAGAGUUGAGGAAGAAAAGUUGUGAAGAAAGAGUAGAAAGUUCACUCUGUUUAUGUGCUCAAGUUCUGAAUUUUAUAUCAAGUCACACAAUUAGUCAUUAUCCAUCUUUGGUGCAAAAUUUUGCUUGGGUUUGAUUGCAACACUUGCAUCCUAGGCAUACUCCUUGUUUGCAUCAAAUCUGAAUUAUCUUUGCGCGUGUGUUUGAUCUAUUUACAUCACUCAUAUCUUGUGGUCAGCACUAGGCAUUGAACUUCUAGUUUGGAUUGUGGUUUAACUUUACAAUAUCAAGAAUUCAGAGUGCAUUCCUUGUGAAAUAUAUCCCCACCAAGCUCCACAAAUAACCCACUGUCAUAGGAAAAU
rnacentral:lncRNA from 1 species